UGCACUCACGCCCUGGAGGUUCUGAAGUAGGCAACUUUCUAGUUACACAGGUCCUGCACCCAAGCUUUUAGCUCAGGCCAAGUAAAGACAAUAAGUUCAGGUGAAUGGACCAGUUAAGUGCUACCUGGAGGUAAGGCUGUAUCCAGACUGACAUGCCCUGGACCAAUGCAGCUAAGUGGAUACAUGAAUUUGGCACCCAA
rnacentral:lncRNA from 1 species